AGUUUGAUCAUGGCUCAGAUUGAACGCUGGCGGCAUGCCUUACACAUGCAAGUCGAACGGCAGCACGGGAGCAAUCCUGGUGGCGAGUGGCGAACGGGUGAGUAAUAUAUCGGAACGUGCCCAGUAAUGGGGGAUAGCCCGGCGAAAGCCGGAUUAAUACCGCAUACGACCUACGGGUGAAAGCGGGGGAUCGCAAGACCUCGCGCUAUUGGAGCGGCCGAUAUCAGAUUAGCUUGUUGGUGGGGUAAAAGCCCACCAAGGCGCCGAUCUGUAGCUGGUCUGAGAGGACGACCAGCCACACUGGGACUGAGACACGGCCCAGACUCCUACGGGAGGCAGCAGUGGGGAAUUUUGGACAAUGGGCGCAAGCCUGAUCCAGCCAUGCCGCGUGUGGGAAGAAGGCCUUCGGGUUGUAAACCACUUUUGUCAGGGAAGAAACGGUUCUUACUAAUACUAGGAGCUAAUGACGGUACCUGAAGAAUAAGCACCGGCUAACUACGUGCCAGCAGCCGCGGUAAUACGUAGGGUGCAAGCGUUAAUCGGAAUUACUGGGCGUAAAGCGUGCGCAGGCGGCUUUGCAAGACAGAUGUGAAAUCCCCGGGCUCAACCUGGGAACUGCAUUUGUGACUGCAUGGCUAGAGUACGGUAGAGGGGG
rnacentral:rRNA from 1 species